AGAACGAACGCUGGCGGCAGGCUUAACACAUGCAAGUCGAACGCUCGUAGCAAUACGGGAGUGGCAGACGGGUGAGUAACGCGUGGGAACAUACCCUCCGGUUCGGAAUAGCUCAGGGAAACUUGGAUUAAUACCGGAUACGGCUGAGAGGCGAAAGAUUUAUCGCCGGAGGAUUGGCCCGCGUUCGAUUAGCUUGUUGGUGAGGUAACGGCUCACCAAGGCGAUGAUCGAUAGCUGGUCUGAGAGGAUGAUCAGCCACAUUGGGACUGAGACACGGCCCAAACUCCUACGGGAGGCAGCAGUGGGGAAUAUUGGACAAUGGGCGCAAGCCUGAUCCAGCCAUGCCGCGUGAGUGAUGACGGCCUUAGGGUUGUAAAGCUCUUUCGCUCGGGACGAUAAUGACGGUACCGAGAUAAGAACGCCCCGGCUAACGUUCGCGCCAGCAGCCGC
rnacentral:rRNA from 1 species